AACGAACGCUGGCGGCAUGCCUAACACAUGCAAGUCGAACGAGACCUUCGGGUCUAGUGGCGCAAGGGUGCGUAACGCGUGGGAACCUGCCCUUAGGUUCGGAAUAACUCCCCGAAAGGGGUGCUAAUACCGGAUAAUGUCUUCGGACCAAAGAUUUAUCGCCAUUGGAUGGGCCCGCGUUGGUUUAGCUAGUUGGUAGGGUAAAAGCCUACCAAGGAGACGAUCCAUAGCUGGUCGGAGAGCAUGACCAGUCACACUGGGAAUGAGACACGGCCCAGACUCCUACGGGAGGCAGCAGUGGGGAAUAUUGGACGAGGGGCGAAAGCCUGAUCCAGCAGUGCCGCGUGAGUGAUGAAGGCCUUAGUGUUGUAAAGCCCCUUUAGCCGGGAUGAUAAUGACAGUACCGGGUGAAUAAGCGCCGGCUAACUCCGUG
rnacentral:rRNA from 1 species